rnacentral:piRNA from 1 species
UGCGCAUAAUGAGUUGAAGCCAUGGUCC